rnacentral:rRNA from 1 species
AUUGAACGCUGGCGGCAGGCUUAACACAUGCAAGUCGAGCGAGCGGCGGACGGGUGAGUAAUGUCUGGGAAACUGCCUGAUGGAGGGGGAUAACUACUGGAAACGGUAGCUAAUACCGCAUACCAUCAGAUGUGCCCAGAUGGGAUUAGCUAGUAGGUGGGGUAAUGGCUCACCUAGGCGACGAUCCCUAGCUGGUCUGAGAGGAUGACCAGCCACACGGGACAUUAGCCGCGGUCCAGACUCCUCAGGGAGGCAGCAGAGGGGAAUAUUGCGCACAGGGCGCAAGCCUGAUGCAGCCGUGGCGCGUAUGUGAAGUAGGCCUUGGAGUUGUAAGGCACUUUCAGCGAGGAGGCGUUACUCGCAGAAGAAGCACCGGCUAACUCCGUGCCAGCAGCCGCGGUAAUAC